rnacentral:misc_RNA from 1 species
AGCCGCCAGCAUGGGCGGUUUCAGCUUCAACGGAAAUAUAGAACUUGCCGGGGUAGCAGAGGUCUCUGAGGAUAAUCUCUUUAGGCUCACUAACACUACAUAUUUUUCAGUUGGUCGUGCUUUUUACGCUCAACCACAAACCGUCAAGAAUUCAUCAAACGGGAAGGCGUUCUCGUUUUCGACGACUUUUGUUUUCGCCAUUGUCACUGACGAGUCCAAAUUAAAUGGCCAUGGCAUGGCUUUUGUGAUUUCUCCCUCGAAGGAGUUAUCAUCCGGU